rnacentral:lncRNA from 1 species
GACCUGUCUAUCAUGCCCUUUGCAGAACAGCUUCCUAGCCCGGCCCUUGACACCAAUCAGAGGAGUGCAGGAUAUGACGUCAGAAUGGGGGUAUAAAAGAUGGUGGCUCUUAACCUUCAGGCUGCUCUUAGCUUUUCCACUGGCCCACCCUGGACUGUGCAGGCAAAGACCAUGA